rnacentral:lncRNA from 1 species
GGAAUCCCAUGGGUUAGGGCCCUAGAAGGAAGGGGCAUUCAAGAGAGCUGGUUAAUAUUCAAACAUCACCUCCUCCAGGCUCAAGAGCGGUGCAUCCCUAUGAGUAGGAAGUCAAGCAAAGGAGGUAGGAGACCUGCAUGGAUGAGCAAGGAGCUCCUGGCAAAACUCAACCAGAAGAAGGAAGUCUACAGAAAGUGGAAAGGGGGACAGGCCACUUGGGAGGAAUAUAGGAACGUUGUCAGAGUAUGCAGGGAUGCGACGAGGAAGGCUAAGGCCCGUUUGGAAUUAAAUCUGGCGAGAGAUGUCAAGGACAACAAGAAGGGCUUCUUCAAAUACAUCAGUAGCAAGAGGAAGACUAGGGAAAAUGUGGGCCCUUUGCUGAAUGGGGUGGGUGCCCUGGUGACGAAGGAUGCAGAGAAGGCAGAGUUACUGAAUGCCUUCUUUGCUUCAGUCUUUACUGSUCAGGCCAGCCCUCAGGAACCCCAGAUCCUGGAGGCAAGAGAGAAAGUCUGGAGAAAGGAAGACUUUCCCUUGGUCGAGGAGAAUCGGGUUAGAGAUCAUUUAAGCAAACUUGACACCCACAAAUCCAUGGGCCCCGAUGGGAUGCACCCACGAGUGCUGAGGGAGCUGGCGGAUGUCAUUGCUAAGCCACUCUCCAUCAUCUUUGAAAGGUCAUGGAGGACAGGAGAGGUGCCUGAGGACUGGAAGAAAGCCAAUGUCACCCCAGUCUUCAAAAAGGGUAAGAAGGAGGACCCAGGGAACUACAGGCCAGUCAGCCUCACCUGCAUCCCUGGAAAGGUGAUGGAGCAGCUCAUCCUGGAGGCCAUCUCCAAGCAUGUGGAGGAAAGAAGGUGAUCAGGAGUAGUCAGCAUGGCUUCACCAAGGGGAAAUCAUGCCUAACCAAUCUGAUAGCCUUCUAUGAUGGAAUGACUGGCUGGGUAGAUGAGGGGAGAGCAGUGGAUGUUGUCUCCCUUGAGUUCAGCAAGGCUUUUGACACUGUCUCCCAUAACAUCCUCAUAGGGAAGCUCAGGAAGUGUGGGCUAGAUGAGUGGACAGUGAGGUGGAUUGAGAACUGGCUGAAUGGCAGAGCUCAGAGGGUUGUGAUCAGCGGCGCAGUCUAGUUGGAGGCCUGUAGCUAG